CCCACCCAUUAAAUCGGACGCAGUGUGCCUUCUAUUACCUGACUGAGGGAUACUACACCCGGCAACGAGACUUCAGAGACAACAAUAUCUUUUGAAACCCGCUUCUCAGCUAAGUGCCCCCAGCAGUUAUUUGAGACAGAUAGAUUUUACUACACGGAUCCGGUAGGAUUAUUAUUUGUUCGGCUGUCUGGAGUUGCUUGUUGGAUACCUUCACCACCUAAAAGCUGGUAAGCACUUGUUUCUUUGGGAUUGUCUGACGGGUGUGUUAUUCACUUUGCGAGUGACCUAACUGUUGGGUAGGGUAAAUUUACUGAUUCCCAACAACUACUACUACUGCUAUAACUUCUACUACUACUACUGCUACUACUACAGCCACUCCCACAGGCACAUAGACGCUGUGGACCCGUCGGAGGGCAUGAUGAAGCAGCGGGAGACUGGCAUCUAUACCAACGACUUCCUGGAGUUUAUCGGCAGCGGACACUCCACCGUGCCCAAAGACACAUACGACCUGGUGGUCAUCUCGGGCGGUAUGGGCGAAGGUCACAUCCCAGUCAGUGGCCUCGACGACCUGGUGCGCGUCGCAAAGAAUGGUGGAGCGGCGCAUCGUCCCAAACUAUUUCUGUGACAAGGAGGGUCUCGUCUUCGUCUUCCGCAUCACUAAGCCUGAGUGAGGAGGAAGAGGAGGGAAAGGAAAGGAGAGAGAUGAGGAGGAGGAGUUAUAGUUGUGCUGUGCCAAGGCCGUCUCUGUGUAACAGCCUUGGUUUCGUCGCGGCACCCGAGACUGAGGUGAAUUAUCGCGCUCUGGCAACCUGGCGUCAUGGCGUCUACGAUGUUAUAUGAUAGUCUACGCAUAGGGCACGUCAGUAUUAAUCAUAUUAUUGAAAUUGUCGUAAAAAUCUGUUUUAGUUUAUAAGACUGAGGCUGCAGAAUCCUUAACCUCAGACCUUGCUAUCAUCUCCGAUUGGGAUAAAAGGAACCUUUGGGUUUUUGUGUCCUUCAAUGCCUCAAAAACCCAAUUUAUCCACCUUUCAACUCGACACAAU